rnacentral:rRNA from 1 species
UUCAAUUCGACGCAACGCGCAGAACCUUACCAGCCCUUGACAUGUGGACUCGCCGGCUCCAGAGACGGAGCCUUCGGUUCGGCCGGAGUCAGCACAGGUGCUGCAUGGCUGUCGUCAGCUCGUGUCGUGAGAUGUUGGGUUAAGUCCCGCAACGAGCGCAACCCUCGUCUCCAGUUGCCAUCAGGUUAUGCUGGGCACUUUGGAGAAACUGCCGGUGACAAGCCGGAGGAAGGUGGGGAUGACGUCAAGUCCUCAUGGCCCUUACGGGCUGGGCUACACACGUGCUACAAUGGCGGUGACAGUGGGAUGCGAAGGGGCGACCCGGAGCCGAUCCCCAAAAGCCGUCCCAGUUCGGAUUGCACUCUGCAACUCGAGUGCAUGAAGUUGGAAUCGCUAGUAAUCGCGGAUCAGCGUGCCGCGGUGAAUACGUUCCCGGGCCUUGUACACACCGCCCGUCACGCCAUGGGAGUUGUAUCUACC